GACGAACGCUGGCGGCGUGCUUAACACAUGCAAGUCGAACGGAAAGGCCCUGCUUUUGUGGGGUGCUCGAGUGGCGAACGGGUGAGUAACACGUGAGUAACCUGCCCUUGACUUUGGGAUAACUUCAGGAAACUGGGGCUAAUACCGGAUAGGAGCUCCUGCUGCAUGGUGGGGUUGGGAAGGUUUCGGCGGUUGGGGAUGGACUCGCGGCUUAUCGGCUUGUUGGUGGGGUAGUGGCUUACCAAGGCUUUGACGGGUAGCCGGCCUGAGAGGGUGACCGGCCACAUUGGGACUGAGAUACGGCCCAGACUCCUACGGGAGGCAGCAGUGGGGAAUAUUGCACAAUGGGCGGAAGCCUGAUGCAGCAACGCCGCGUGCGGGAUGACGGCCUUCGGGUUGUAAACCGCUUUCGCCUGUGACGAAGCGUGAGUGACGGUAAUGGGUAAAGAAGCACCGGCUAACUACGUG
rnacentral:rRNA from 1 species